AGAACUAUUAUCUACAUCUCUGUAAAACAAAUAGGUACAUCAAAUCUACAUUCAACCAUUAUUAAUCUCAUUAAAUGCUUUAUGAAAAAAAUGAAAUAUAGGCAUGUAUUUUUUAAUGAAUUAAUUGCAUCAUUUACUCGGACAGUAAUUGAUUAGUGGUUAAUUAACUUGUUUUCCUUUAUUUCUCGUGAAUAAGCUGAACAUGAAGGUCCAUACAUUAACAAUUUUAUUAGCCGUUACAAUCAUCAAUUGUACGUACUCCUGGUGGGAUUCAGAAUUCUUAAUUGUCUAUCCUGUUGCAAUCCUACGUACGGAUAACCAAGGUGAUCGUAACUCAUUUCAAAAGCGUAGUCGUGCAAAACGUGAAAUGAAGCGAGACCUAGAGACUUCUAAGUAUGUACUUGGAAGAGUAAAACAAGACCUGCAAUCAAUAAGGUUAUCAUUCACACGAGAAUUUGCGAGAAUGGAACAACAGUUGAAUGAAUGUAGUAGAAGAGAAAUAGAUCCUUCGACCGCACCCAAGAAGCCACCUGCUUACGAAUACCCUGACACUCCUGAUUAUGAUUAUAAUUAUUAGUCGUUUACGUCAGGAUGCUAUAUUCUUAUAAAAGUGUCGAUAUCUAAAAUAAAUCAGAGUUUCAUUAAGG